rnacentral:rRNA from 1 species
UUGAGAGUUUGAUCCUGGCUCAGGAUGAACGCUGGCGGCGUGCCUAAGGCAUGCAAGUCGAAUGGUCUGCAAGGACAAUGGCAGACGGGUGAGUAAUACGUAGGAAUCUACCUUUUGGCGGGGAAUAGCUCGGCGAAAGCCGGGGUAAUUCCGCAUAAGUUCGCAAGAAGAAAGGGCAUAACUGCCCACCGAAAGAGGAGCCUGCGUCNNNNNNNNNNNNNNNNNNNNNNNNNNNNNNNNAAGGCGAUGACGGGUAGGGGGUGUGAGAGCACGGUCCCCCACAAGGUCACUGAUACAAGGGGCCUACUUCUACGGAAGGCAGCAACUAGGAAUUUUGCGCAAUGGGCGAAAGCCUGACGCAGCGACGCCGCGUGCGGGAUGAAGGCCUUCGGGUCGUAAACCGCUGUGGAGAGGGAAGAAGAUCUGACGGUACCUCUCUAGAAAGUGCCUGCUAACCACGUGCCAGAAGCCUCGGUGAUACGUGGGGCACAAGCGUUAUCCGGAUUUACUGGGCGUAAAGAGUCUCGUAGGCGGUUUGGUAAGUGAUUGGUGAAAUCCCCUGGCUCAACCAGGGAACUGCCAGUCAUACUAUCAGACUAGAGUUAUUUCGGGGAAGUUGGAAUUCUCGGUGUAGGGGUGAAAUCCGUUGAUAUCGAGAAGAACACCAAGGGCGAAGGCAGACUUCCAGGAAUUUACUGACGCUGAUGAACGAAAGCUAGGGGAGCGAACGGGAUUAGAGACCCCGGUAGUCCUAGCCGUAAACAAUGUCCACUAGUUACUUCCCGUUCAGGGAGGCGACGUAAGCUAACGCGUUAAGUGGACCGCCUGGGGAGUACGGCCGCAAGGCUAAAACUCAAAGGAAUUGGCGGGGAAAUGCACAACCAGGGGAGCAUGUGGUUUAAUUCGAUACGAAGCGUUGAACCUUACCUGGGCUUGACAUCUAUUUGACGACUUUAAGAAAUUAAGGUUUUCCGCAAGGACAAAUAGACAGCUGCUGCAUGGCUGUCGUAAGCUCGUACCGUGAGGCGUCGACUUCAGUGUCGUAACGAGCGCAACCCCUUUUUCGUGUUAAAUAGUCACGAAAGACUGCCUGGCCACAAGUCGGGAGGAAGGAGGGGAUGACGUCAAGUCAGCACGGCGCUUACGCCCAGGGCAACACACAUCCUACAAUGGUGAGGAGCAAUGGGUUGCGAAACCGCAAGGUGGAGCCAAUCCCAAAAACCCUCCCUCAGUUCAGAUUGCGGGCUGAAACUCGCCCGCAUGAAGUUGGACUUGGUAGUAAUCGCGGAUCAUCAGACCGCGGUGAAUACGUUCUCAUUUCUUGCACACACCGCCCGUCACAUGAGGAGAGUCGGCAGCGCCCGAAGU